GACGAACGCUGGCGGCGGGCUUAACACAUGCAAGUCGAACGGAAAGGCCCUGCUUUUGUGUGGUGCUCGAGUGGCGAACGGGUGAGUAACACGUGAGUCACCUGCCCUUGACUUUGGGAUAACUUCAGGAAACUGGUGCUAAUACCGGAUAGGAGCUCCUGCUGCAUGGUGGGGGUUGGAAAGUUUAGGCGGAUGGGGAUGGACGCGCGGCUUAUCAGCUUGUUGGUGGGGUAGUGGCUUACCAAGGCUUUGGCGGGUAGGCGGCCUGAGAGGGUGACCGGCCACAUUGGGACUGAGAUACGGACCAGAGUCCUACGGGAGGCAGCAGUGGGGAAUAUGGUACAAUGGGGGGAAGCGUGAUGAAGAAACGCCGGGUGCGGGAUGAAGGCUUUGGGGUUGUAAACCGCUUUAGGCUGUGACGAAGCGUGAGUGACGGUAAUGGGUAAAGAAGCACCGGCUAACUACGUG
rnacentral:rRNA from 1 species